rnacentral:piRNA from 1 species
GGAAGAGGAGAGAGGAUGGAACA